rnacentral:lncRNA from 1 species
CUAGUAGUAUAUAGCAAGGCCUUGUGCAUGCCCCUAGUAGCUACAUACUUAAAAACACUCAAAACACCCUUCUUCAACAAGCUCUCUCUCUCUCUCUCUCUCUCUCUCUCUCUCUCUCUCUCACACACACACACACACACACACACAAACACAAACACACACAGAGAGUGAGAAAUAAUUAACAAGCAAAAUCUAGAGCAAGAAAUAUAUAUUGAGUAAAAUAUGGAAGGGUCGAGGUCGUCGUCGACUAAGAAAAAUGGAAGGGAAGGAGGCAGCAGCAGAGGAUUGGGAAGGUUUAUGAAACAAGAGAGAGGAAGGCUUUACAUAAUUAGGACUUGUGUUGUUAUGCUCCUUUGCUGGCAUGACUAAUUAUAAUUAUUCAGUCAUUUGAUCACAUGAAUAUUGCUAGCUAGGAACGAGAGAAACCACGACGUCUUUAGGAAUUCUUUAAUUUACUAGCUAAUUAAUUUGCCUGCUCCAUUAUGUACAUAUAUUGGCUAGUAUUUUAUUUGUAACAUUGCAUGAAGAGCUUUAAGAUCGAUCUUCAAGUUUUGAUUUCAUUAUCAACGUUAAUUGCCAU